AUAAGGCCCAGUGCAGCAUUCUUAUCUCCAGGACUUAAAUUUGGGGAAAAAAGGAAGGAUUCUGGACGAACUUUUUUCUACCUGACAGUGCUGUAGAGCUGUCCUUGGCCCUCCUGUAAUUCCAUCUGCUCAGUUUGAGAGAGUGCUGCCCUUGGAACCAGGAUGGACUGGCGGAUGGAUGCUCAGGAAAACAGAUGAUGGUUGGGCUGGGACAACAAAGCACUUGGCUCCAAAUGGAGUCAGAAAUGUCAGCUCCACUUGGUCUUUGGCAAAGAUAUCCCCACAUGUUCUCCAGGAGAUCUGCUCUCAGAGUAGGAAAGGCUUUCCACAGUAAACACCCCCAAGGACCUAGGGAGCCACCUGUGCCAGCUGUAUGACCACAGGCCUUUGGUCUUCCUGGGAGGGAUGUGGGCUGGGCUCAGGAAGCUUGUGGUUUAUAAAGAAACAGAAACCCUGCCCUGAGCAGAGCACUCCAGCUGCCGCCACAAUGAAGGGAGCACUGCUUGUGCUGGCCUUGCUGGUGACCAGAGAGCUGACCUUUGAGACUCGUGAGGCCGAAGCCUGCCCUAUUUUUUAUCGAGUCCUUACCACUGUAGCCCUUGCAUUACCACCGCCAUUGUUGAACAAAACCCUCGAUUUGGUUGAAGCUACUGAUGCAGAAAAAGUAGCACUAGAAAAAAAUCCAGGAUUGCUUCGCUGAGAAUGGACUUGUGAACAGGUUGAAACAUCUGAGAAUCACGCUUUCCAUCAUCUUCAGUAAAGAUUGCACUGUCUAUAAGUUGCCCUCAGUGGUGAACACUGGUUUAGGAUUAGCUCUCAGUGUGACAUCUUUGCUGAGAUAAUCUUUGCCAGGGAUGCCAGCCUGCACUCGCACUUCCUACCCUGUUUUCCUUCUCAUCUGAAGCUGGAAUCCAGACACCUGUCCCACCUGAUGUGUCCUGUAUCAGUCUGACUCUAAUAAAAUAACUGCAGCAUUGCUCAGUGUGCCCAGU